rnacentral:rRNA from 1 species
UAAUACGGAGGGUGCAAGCGUUAAUCGGAAUUACUGGGCGUAAAGCGCACGCAGGCGGUUUGUUAAGUCAGAUGUGAAAUCCCCGAGCUUAACUUGGGAACUGCAUUUGAAACUGGCAAGCUAGAGUCUUGUAGAGGGGGGUAGAAUUCCAGGUGUAGCGGUGAAAUGCGUAGAGAUCUGGAGGAAUACCGGUGGCGAAGGCGGCCCCCUGGACAAAGACUGACGCUCAGGUGCGAAAGCGUUGGGAGCAAACAGGAUUAGAUACCCUGGUAGUCCACGCUGUAAACGAUGUCGACUUGGAGGUUGUGCCCUUGAGGCGUGGCUUCCGGAGCUAACGCGUUAAGUCGACCGCCUGGGGAGUACGGCCGCAAGGUUAAA